CACUCUAUGACUAGCCCAAAUAAUUUGACUUUAUAAUACAAAAUAAUUAUAUCACUUAUACCCUAAACAUAAAACCUAAUAAACCAUUUUUCUGCCCUAGUAUAGGAGAUAGAAAAGGAAAAUUACACCGGAGCCAUAGAAAUAGUACCGCAAGGGAAGGUUGAAAAAGAAAUGAAAAACUUCAAGUACAAAAAAGCAGAGAUUCCCCCUCUUACCUUUUGCAUCAUGGUUUAGCUAGUAUAUUCAAGCAAAAUGUAUUUCAGUUUGAAACCCCGAAACUAAAGCGAGCUACUUCAAGACAGCCUAUUUAGGGCAAACCCGUCUCUGUGGCAAUAGAGUGGGAAGAGCUUUGAGUAGCGGUGAAAUACCUACCGAGCUUAGUGAUAGCUGGUUGCCUGAAAAAUGGAUAGAAGUUCAGCCUCUAGAAUUCCUUUUAAGACAUAUAAUCCUUUAAAACUUAAGAAGAAGCCUAAAGAGUUAAUCAUUAGGGGUACAGCUCCUUUGAUAAAAGAGACAACUUUAACAGAAGGAUAAGGAUCAUAAAAAUUAUGUAAUAAAUAUACGUGGGCCUGCAAGCAGCCACCCUUAAUAGAAUGCGUUACAGCUCGCACCAUCAUAACCUCUCAAUUCUGAUAACCAAAUCCAAUUCCUCUGCCCCCUAUCAGGCCGCUCCAUGCAGACAUGGAAGAGAUAAUGCUAAAAUGAGUAAUAAGAGGCUCAGCCCUCUCCAACGCACAAGUGUAGAUCGGAAUGGACCAACCACCGAAACUUAACGGCCCCAAUUAAAGAGGGCACAGGACCAAAAAAACAUAAAUUAGAAACAUAACCUGCUAAAACCGUUAACCCUACACCGGAGUGCCAAAGGAAAGACUAAAAAGAAAAGAAGGAACUCGGCAAACAAAAGCCUCGCCUGUUUACCAAAAACAUCACCUCUUGUAAUCACCAAAUAAGAGGCCCCGCCUGCCCUGUGACUAUAUGUUUAACGGCCGCGGUAUCUUGACCGUGCAAAGGUAGCGCAAUCAAUUGUCUUUUAAAUGAAGACCUGUAUGAAUGGCGUAACGAGGGCUUAACUGUCUCCUUUUCUUGGUCAAUGAAAUUGAUCUUUCCGUGCAGAAGCGGGAGUAAAUACAUAAGACGAGAAGACCCUGUGGAGCUUUAGACGCUAGAGUAGUCCAAUGUUAAAUUAUCCUUCCAAAAGAUUAUAACUCAAAGCUCCUGCUCUUAUGUCUUUGGUUGGGGCGACCAUGGAGUAAAAAAUAACCUCCACGCGGAAUAAGAGCACUGCUCACUAAAAUCAGAGCCGCCGCUCUACUAAUCAGAACCUCUGACCUCACAGAUCCGGCUUAUUGCCGAUUAACGAACCGAGUUACCCCAGGGAUAACAGCGCAAUCCCCUUUAAAAGACCAUAUCCAAAAGGGGGUUUACGACCUCGAUGUUGGAUCAGGACAUCCUAUUGGUGCAGCCGCUAUUAAGGGUUCGUUUGUUCAACGAUUAAAGUCCUACGUGAACUGAGUUCAGACCGAAGUAAUUCAGGUCAGAUUCUAUCUAUGAAUUGACCCUCUCUAGUACGAAAGGAUCGAGAUGCGGUGGAGUCAAUGUCAUACACACACUCCUUCCCCAGCUAAUGAAUACAACUAAAAAAGACAAGAGACAUGUUACUAACCCCGAGAUCAGGAA
rnacentral:rRNA from 1 species